GCUAGUGUAGCUCAGCUGGCAGAGCAGCUGAUUCGUAAUCAGCAGGUCGCAGGUUCAAAUCCCGUCACUAGCUCCA
rnacentral:tRNA from 1 species